GAUGAACGCUGGCGGCGUGCCUAAUACAUGCAAGUCGAGCGAACAGACGAGGAGCUUGCUCCUCUGACGUUAGCGGCGGACGGGUGAGUAACACGUGGAUAACCUACCUAUAAGACUGGGAUAACUUCGGGAAACCGGAGCUAAUACCGGAUAAUAUAUUGAACCGCAUGGUUCAAUAGUGAAAGACGGUUUUGCUGUCACUUAUAGAUGGAUCCGCGCCGCAUUAGCUAGUUGGUAAGGUAACGGCUUACCAAGGCAACGAUGCGUAACCGACCUGAGAGUGUGAUCGGCCAGACGGGAACAGAGGAGCGGUCCAGACACCGACAGGAAGCAACAGUAGGGAAUCUUCCGCAAUGAGCGAAAGCCUGACGGAGCAACGCCGCGUGAGUGAUGAAGGUCUUCGGAUCGUAAAACUCUGUUAUUAGGGAAGAACAAAUGUGUAAGUAACUAUGCACAUCUUGACGGUACCGAAUCAGAAAGCCACGGCUAACUACGUG
rnacentral:rRNA from 1 species